UCUUCCUGUAUCCCUAACCUUCUGACGCCCAUCGCUUGCCAUGGAUCGCGCCGCCGCCCUGCUCCCCACCGAUGCCAUCGCUCUCCCACCCAUCCACUGCCCCUGCCCACUGCACCUACCCUCUGUUGCAUUCCAUCGCCUCCACCGCCACCGUGAACCAUCUCUCUCCUUAGUCCUCUCUCUUGGACUAGCACGCUACGGCGGAUGCUUCCGGUCAUGUGGAGGCGGUGCGGCAGGUCGAGGGAAUGCGAUUGAGGCGGAUUGUGUCCCUUCUCGAUCUAUCCUCACCUCCUCUUCCUCCUCUCCCAUCAAACAUCACACCGCACUCUCCUCUCAUGCGACAAUCUAUACCCAUAGGCAAUAACAAUGGUCUCCUGUUGUGCCCCUCCACUCAUCGGACCGCCGAGGCAUGGAAGUACCCGGAGAAGUUGGUGCUCCGCGUAGCAAAUUUGUGCCCCUCCACUCAUCGGACCGCCGAGGCAUGGAACUACUUGGAGAAGAUGGUGCUCCGCGUAGCAAAUUCGGCUGUGUUUUGAGAGGCUGCCAGGCAAGACGCUUUGCCAGAUGUUCAUCAUCAAUGUCGGUCAGGGGUUCAGGCACCUUUGGAACGCAUGGCAUCAGCCAUAUGGACCUGCAUGGAUGUGAUAGUUUACUCAAACAUUUUUAUGCCUUCAACUACAGCUACCACACAACUUCAUUGAGAUUUGUUUUCUAUAGGACCUGGAUUAAUAAUCUCCAACAAUAUGGAAUAGGCAAGCACAAGAGAAGAUUUGACAGUAGACGCUCAUUGUUUGAGGCCCGAAAGAGAUCACUGCUUCUACACCGUUUCUUUCUCUCCUGGUUAGAAACAACCUCAACAAUCUUGCGUCAUGUCUCUCCCUUCAGCUAUCUCCCACCCCAUGGAAGCUAACCCAUGUCUCUAUCAAAACUAAGUUGGAGCAUUCAUCUGCUGUGCUAAAGGAGCUUAUUGACCCAAAACUGUUUUCCUCAUCUGUAUCAGUGUUUGUGCUCUCCAUGGAUGCAAUCCCGGCUCUUCUCACAUAUAACCUAUGGAUACCUCAUGGAGAUUGGUUGGAGCAUAAUCUUCUUACGUACAAGCUAUGUAUACAUAAUGGACAAUGGUCGGAGUAUAACGAUGCUGAUCAGGCGAGCUUAUAAAUUAACAUGCUGUCUAAGUAGAUGACAGCAGCAUGGAGGAGCCUAAUGUCAGUUGUCAAUGUCAUCGCUGGUCAAGUUACUAAUAAAUUUUUGUAUCGACAAAACAUGUCUAAGACCCUCUAUGGGAGAGGUAACAUCUUCAAUGGCCUACCCAGUCUUCAGUUACGGCUGAUGUUGUUGCUUGAUCUCCUGUUCAAGGAAGUUCCUUGCGGAGAUGCCAUGUCCUGGUUGUUGUAGGUUAGAGAAUUGAGUUCU